rnacentral:misc_RNA from 1 species
AUCCACAGAAAUUCAGCAACAGUCUAGCACACCAAGAUAGUCAACAAAACUUGAAAUUAUAUUUCAUCCACAUGAAUUCCUAAUCUUUUGGCACCUAAUAUUUUGGCAAAAAGAAAGACUCUUUUGCGCAUUCCAUCCAUAUAAAAACUAUCCCUCCUUGCUCUUUUUUUCCUUUCUACUAUCACGGUCCCAGAAAUGGCUCAUGUUUGAACGUGAAUGCCUUUUCCUAGCCAUAAACCAACAGCCAUGUAAUGGCAGUACAUAAAUCUUAUCAAUUCAAACCUUCACAAUGACAGAUUGAACAAUAAACAAGGUCGCUGCAUCUCAAGAAACAACAAAUUUAAUGCAACCAUUUGAAACUCUACAACAUAUAAAAAUUCAUUGCACAUUGUUAAUAAGUAAGGAAAAAGUAUGACAUUGAAUUCAAGCAUAAAAAUGGUUUCAUAAAAUAUAACAAAGCCAAACAUUAGUGAGAACCCUUCUAAGACAAACAUUUAUUCUAAUUUCAUGUACCCAAAAUGAUUCAUGUGUUUUGACUAACAUACUUGAAUAGCAGAAAUACAUACUAAGUUAUUUGAAAAUAGAACCAUUACAUAUUGUAAAUACUUGACAAAAAAUAGUUUUACACAGUGCAAGAAUUUUUAGCAAGAAUUUUCAGAAAGCCAACUACAUUAUAAAAAAUCUAGCAUGGACUAUAAUUCUUGUCUUGGCAAUUCAUGAUAAAGAAGAACAACUUGCAAACUACUUUGACCCAAACACAUUGGUCCAACCCACUCUAUCUAGCCAAAAAGUACAUAUUAACAAAGAAUCCAAGCACCUCAGGAACAGCUAAGGAAUGGCUUAGAAUGAGCUUAAUAGAAUUUCCUUUAGGCUCAUUCACAAAAUCCAACAUGAGAUGAGCCUGUGUGAAGUUUGAGUUCAAGUAAGGCUGAGAAGAUAAAUCAAGUUCAUGCCACCCAAAGCACUACUUUACAAGGUUAAGACUAGCUUUAUGCUAUCUAUAAUCAAGUUAGUUUCCAUUGUCAAAUUGAAUUAAGCAAAAUGUCAAUGAUAUGUUCAUGUCAAAGGAGUACCUCCCCUUAAUUCAUACCAAAGGGAAAAAAAAUAUGAGGAGAAAAAAAUUAGUAAGAAACAGCCCACUUAAUUAACUGCCAUCAAAAUUAGUAUGUUUAGAUUUAAACCCUCUUAAAACUUUAAACAUGAAAAUGAAAUCAAUCAAGCAGAACAUGACAAGUCUUUUGCAUAGAAUUUAACUUGGCUAACAUCAAACAUCACCAUAAUGAGCCAUAAAAAAUAUUCAUUGCUCUCUGACUCAACACAUCUCUAACAUGAUGAGAGCCUUAGGUGCCAAAGCAGGAAUGUAAAUAUAGACCCACUUAGUGAACUUCCAACAACUUAAAUCAUCAUAAGACCAUCCUAAUAAGAUACUGGGAGCUGCUAUUCACACUUCAUUAAGUGUUAAAACUGUUAAUUGCAAUUCAUUAACCUUUUUGGCAAUUAUACGAAUUGACCAUGUUACCUUCCUUGUUUUGCCAUUUUAUUUUACCUUUGGUUUCUGACUUUCUGUUUCCUCUUUCGAUGAAACAGAGGCUUCCCAAUAAAAAAAUCCCAUCCAAAAUAGCCUUGUCAAACUCUUCCUCUGAUUGUAUUGUACUAUAACAGGAUCAAACUUAAAUUUUGGCAACAAAAAUCUCCCAAUUCCCACUGAUUUCUUUCUCUCAUAGCAUCUUCUACCUAGAAACUGAGUUUUUGAAGAAGAAAGUAUGAUCCAGUCAUCAAUUCCAAGCUGA